rnacentral:rRNA from 1 species
GACGAACGCUGGCGGCGUGCUUAACACAUGCAAGUCGAACGGAAAGGCCCCUUUGGGGGUACUCGAGUGGCGAACGGGUGAGUAACACGUGAGUAACCUGCCCUUGACUUCGGGAUAACUUCAGGAAACUGGGGCUAAUACCGGAUAGGAAUCCUUGCUGCAUGGUGGGGGUUGGAAAGCUUCGGCGGUUUUGGAUGGACUCGCGGCUUAUCAGCUUGUUGGUGGGGUAGUGGCUUACCAAGGCUUUGACGGGUAGCCGGCCUGAGAGGGCGACCGGCCACAUUGGGACUGAGAGACGGCCCAGACUCCUACGGGAGGCAGCAGUGGGGAAUAUUGCACAAUGGGCGGAAGCCUGAUGCAGCAACGCCGCGGGCGGGAGGACGGCCUUCGGGUUGUAAACCGCUUUCAGCAGGGGCGAAGCUUGUGGUGACGGUACCUGCAGAAGAAGCACCGGCUAACUACGUG